rnacentral:rRNA from 1 species
UUAACGUCCCGCAACGAGCGCCAACCCUGUCUCUAGUUACCAUCGAUUAAGUUGGGACGUCUAGAGAGUACUGCCAAGGGUUAACUUGGAGGAAGGUGGGAUGACGUCAAGUCCUCAUGGCCUUUAUGUCCAGGGCUACGACACGUGCUACAAUGGACGGUACAGAGGGUAGCGAUAUCGCGAGGGGGAGCCAAUCCCAAAAAGCCGCUCUCAGUUCGGAUUGCAGGCUGCAACUCGCCUGCAUGAAGCCGGAAUCGCUAGUAAUCGCGGAUCAGCAUGCCGCGGUGAAUACGUUCCCGGGCCUU